AACGUAGGAGACAAGCGUUAUCCGGAGUUACUGGGCGUAAAGGGCGUGUAGGUGGUAUCGUAAGUCUGGCGUGAAAUUUCUCGGCUUAACCGAGGCAGGUCGUCGGAUACUGCGAGGCUAGAGGACGGUAGAGGCGUGUGGAAUUCCGGGUGUAGUGGUGAAAUGCGUAGAGAUCCGGAGGAACACCAGUGGCGAAGGCGACACGCUGGGCCGUACCUGACACUGAUGCGCGACAGCAUGGGGAGCAAACAGG
rnacentral:rRNA from 1 species